UACGUAGGGUGCGAGCGUUGUCCGGAUUUAUUGGGCGUAAAGAGCUUGUAGGCGGCUCGUCACGUCGGGUGUGAAAACUCGGGGCUUAACCCCGAGCCUGCAGUGGAUACGGGCAGACUAGAGGUAGGUAGGGGAGAAUGGAAUUCCCGGUGUAGCGGUGAAAUGCGCAGAUAUCGGGAGGAACACCGGUGGCGAAGGCGGUUCUCUGGGCCUUACCUGACGCUGAGGAGCGAAAGCGUGGGGAGCGAACAGG
rnacentral:rRNA from 1 species